AUAGAUUCAAAAACUUUCAAAAAAAAAAAAAAUUGCAUAAAAAUAACCACAAAAAGAAGCGUAAUAUCAGAUAUGGGCCCGGGAGAUAUCAAAAAAAGAUGGAAGAUCUCAUUUGAAUGGAUGCGGUGGGCGGGACGAUGGAUUUGUUUUGGCCUUUAUUUUGAAUUUAAAUCCAACGGCUAAGCUGUCGGAACACACCCCAAUCCAACCUCCACCCGCCGUCCAAUACACAUACCCCUCUCAUUCAUCCUCCCACUACUCUUACUCUACUCUGGUUUUCAGUGUUCCUUCUUCUGGCUAAGAAACAAGUUGUGGUUUUUUGGAUUCAGAUUCCCGUCCUCUGCUGAAACAAGUUGCUGGGAUUUCCAUCCAUUUCUGUCUCUGGUGAAGAAAGUUGCUGGGACUCUCUCUCUCUCUCUCUCUCUCUCUCUCU
rnacentral:lncRNA from 1 species